rnacentral:rRNA from 1 species
ACAGCAGUAGCCACGGUAAUACGAAGGGUGCAAGCGUUAAUCGGAAUUACUGGGCGUAAAGCGUGCGUAGGCGGUGAGUUAAGUCUGUUGUGAAAUCCCCGGGCUCAACCUGGGAAUGGCAAUGGAUACUGGCAAGCUAGAGUGUGUCAGAGGAUGGUGGAAUUCCCGGUGUAGCGGUGAAAUGCGUAGAGAUCGGGAGGAACAUCAGUGGCGAAGGCGGCCAUCUGGGACAACACUGACGCUGAGGCACGAAAGCGUGGGGAGCAAACAGGAUUAGAUACCCCCGUAGUCCCUGUCUCUUAUAC